ACUCCGUCUACCCAGUGUUUAGACUAUCUGUUCAGGACUCCAAUAUUGUACAGUAGUCUGCACAUUGGUUAGGCUGGGCU
rfam:Sarcophilus harrisii ctg7180002429768, whole genome shotgun sequence.